AUCGCUUCUCAGCCUUUUGGCUAAGAUCAAGUGUAAAAAAAAAAAGCAUGCUGCAAACAAGGAGUAAAUACAUAUUUGCAAAACAUAGCUAACAAACUAUGUACUUGUAUUUGGAAUAUACAAGUAACAUAUACAACUC
rnacentral:snRNA from 1 species